rnacentral:rRNA from 1 species
AUUGAACGCUGGCGGCAGGCCUAACACAUGCAAGUCGAGCGGUAGCACAGAGAGCUUGCUCUCGGGUGACGAGCGGCGGACGGGUGAGUAAUGUCUGGGAAACUGCCUGAUGGAGGGGGAUAACUACUGGAAACGGUAGCUAAUACCGCAUAACGUCGCAAGACCAAAGUGGGGGACCUUCGGGCCUCAUGCCAUCAGAUGUGCCCAGAUGGGAUUAGCUGGUAGGUGGGGUAACGGCUCACCUAGGCGACGAUCCCUAGCUGGUCUGAGAGGAUGACCAGCCACACUGGAACUGAGACACGGUCCAGACUCCUACGGGAGGCAGCAGUGGGGAAUAUUGCACAAUGGGCGCAAGCCUGAUGCAGCCAUGCCGCGUGUGUGAAGAAGGCCUUCGGGUUGUAAAGCACUUUCAGCGGGGAGGAAGGCGGUGAGGUUAAUAACCUCAUCGAUUGACGUUACCCGCAGAAGAAGCACCGGCUAACUCCGUGCCAGCCGCCGCAGUAAUAC